GUGAAUCAUCGAAUCUUUGAACGCAAAUUGCACUCUCUUCGGAGAGUAUGCCUGUUUGAGGGUCAGUAUUAAUAAAAAUCGGUGUGUUGCUUCUUUGUGACGCUCCGGAGUUUGGGUCAUCUUAAUAUCCUUUAGGUUUUAAGAGGCUUAAAAUUGACUUUUUUUGCGCAUUUUAGUCGUACAUAAUUUUUUUUUUAUUCUUUUUUUUUUAUUCCCAAAACUUUAUUAAAGGCUAC
rnacentral:misc_RNA from 1 species